rnacentral:rRNA from 1 species
AUUGAACGCUGGCGGCAUGCUUUACACAUGCAAGUCGAACGGUAACAGGCCUUCGGGCGCUGACGAGUGGCGAACGGGUGAGUAAUGCAUCGGAACGUGACCAGUCGUGGGGGAUAACUAUCCGAAAGGAUAGAUAAUACCGCAUACGAUCUGCGGAUGAAAGCGGGGGACCUUCGGGCCUCGCGCGAUUGGAGCGGCCGAUGUCAGAUUAGGUAGUUGGUGGGGUAAAGGCUCACCAAGCCAACGAUCUGUAGCUGGUCUGAGAGGACGACCAGCCACACUGGGACUGAGACACGGCCCAGGCUCCUACGGGAGGCAGCAGUGGGGAAUUUUGGACAAUGGGCGCAAGCCUGAUCCAGCAAUGCCGCGUGCAGGAAGAAGGCCUUCGGGUUGUAAACUGCUUUUGUACGGAACGAAACGGCUCUGGUUAAUACCUGGGGCUAAUGACGGUACCGUAAGAAUAAGCACCGGCUAACUACGUGCCAGCCGCCGCGGUAAUAC